rnacentral:rRNA from 1 species
GAGCUGGACGCAGUCUGACCAGCCAUGCCGCGUGCAGGAAGAAUGCCCUAUGGGUUGUAAACUGCUUUUAUUUAGGAAUAAACCCCUUUACGUGUAGAGGGCUGAAUGUACUAAACGAAUAAGCACCGGCUAACUCCGUGCCAGCAGCCGCGGUAAUACGGAGGGUGCAAGCGUUAUCCGGAAUCAUUGGGUUUAAAGGGUCCGCAGGCGGAUGUAUAAGUCAGUGGUGAAAUCCUGCAGCUUAACUGCAGAACUGCCAUUGAUACUGUACAUCUUGAAUUCGGUCGAAGUGGGCGGAAUGUGUAGUGUAGCGGUGAAAUGCAUAGAUAUUACACAGAACACCGAUAGCGAAGGCAGCUCACUAGGCCUGGAUUGACGCUCAGGGACGAAAGCGUGGGGAUCAAACAGGAUUAGAUACCCUGGUAGUCCACGCUGUAAACGAUGAUUACUCGUUUUCGGCGAUAUACAGUCGGAGACUAAGCGAAAGUGAUAAGUAAUCCACCUGGGGAGUACGAUCGCAAGGUUGAAACUCAAAGGAAAUUGACGGA